UACGGAGGAUCCAAGCGUUAUCCGGAAUCAUUGGGUUUAAAGGGUCCGUAGGCGGUUUAGUAAGUCAGUGGUGAAAGCCCAUCGCUCAACGGUGGAACGGCCAUUGAUACUGCUAGACUUGAAUUAUUAGGAAGUAACUAGAAUAUGUAGUGUAGCGGUGAAAUGCUUAGAGAUUACAUGGAAUACCAAUUGCGAAGGCAGGUUACGUACUAAUGGAUUGACGCUGUAGUGACGAAAGCGUGGGUAGCGAACAGG
rnacentral:rRNA from 1 species